AGUAAGGGGAAAGAACUCAUUAAUCUAACGCAAACAUGGCGGCUAUCCGGGGAAAAUCAAGUUUUGUGUUUACAAAAAGAUUGUUUGUUCACUGUUAGUCACUUAAUGUAAGUGGGAAAAACUGAUUGGAUAAAGAUAUUAAACAGUCUUUAUAGUACAUGUGAAAUAGGAGACUCAUCUGAUUGUGGAAGUUUGUGUAGUUGAAAGGAGUUACAUACAGAUGCUGUUUUGAAUCAUAAGAAAUGACUGAUAUUAAUUCAUUUCUUCAGUUCCUCAUUAGCUUCUUCACAAGGAAUAAAUUGUGUAAGGAGUUCUAUAUUCCUAUUUAAAGACCUAACUUUUUUUUCCAUUUGAGUGUAUGAAAGCAAAUUAAUUGAAUUCAUUCUGAUUACUGAGCUUAUAUAGUUUUAUGUACAUGUAUAUGUGACUUUAUCUUUAUUUGACUUUUUAUUUAUAAGUUAUUUAAACAUUAAUAAUUUUAUUCUUUGUAUGAGAAGCUAUAAUCAAUCGAC